AUACUCUUGUUUCUUGUCAGAUUGUAUAAAUCUUUCACCUUUUACUAACGAUUUCCUUGGAGAGGAACAUUUAUGAGUCUUUUACUAAUUUCUUGAAGCAAGAGCCAUGGU